rnacentral:lncRNA from 1 species
AUUUGUUUAAAAAAAGUACAUCUCGGCCCUAAAGCCUCAGGAAAGACAAACAUUCCUUUUCCAAACAAAGGAAAACCACCGAGGUGGGGACGCGCGGCCCAUCGUUGCUUCUGGCUCGGAUGCCAGAUGCGGAGACGGCGGCUCUGCUCGCCUGUUGGUGGGGCGGGCUGAGGGAAGGCUCGCUUUCGCUGACUGAUCGGGAUUCAGCCGUGCAGCGAUAAAAGGAAGUUUUAUGCUAGGGAAACUUCGGUGAAAAUGAAUCUGCACCCGGGGUUUUGACAGGCAGCCAAGAUCAGCAGAGCGCCCCCCCUCCCACCGUGCAGCAGAGAGGGAUCCCCGCGCCCCCUCGUGUCCGGGGGGCCAGGAGCCCUUUCCGCUCUGGAGCAGAGCACGGCUCUCCACGGCUGCACCUUCCACAGUCCAGUUCAGAUGUAGCCAGGAGGUACAGGGUGAGAAAUAUCCCUGGUAUGUUCCUGGAGAAAAGAUGGAUAAGAAGGAGCAGCUAAUGAGAGCUUUCCCAAAGCCACAGGGUUGUAAAGAAGAAAGAGUAAAAGGGCAUUUUCUGAAACAGAUCCAGUAGUGAUGGUCCUGACCCUCGGCCGCUGACCGCUUUCCCUGUGGCUCCUGUGUCUUCCUCUGAUUGGCUGCUGUGUGUCAGAGCCAGUUUGCUCUUUAAUUGUGCGUUUGACAUCUUCUCCAGCAGUUCCUGAAAGGGAAAAGGGUUAUAAAAUCGCACUGAAGGUGUUUCAGAAACAGUGCAGAUGCUGAUUUUUUGCAUCCUUGUUUUUAAUGCUACCAAAUAUUAAGAAAUAGUUCAAAUGUCCCCUCCCUACUCUGAUGUUUAUAUGUGAGAGAACUCAAUUGCACAUUGUGUUGAGAAACCUAUCAUUAAAAGACUAUAAAAAUACAAAGAAUUUCUCUAAACAAUCUUAA